rnacentral:rRNA from 1 species
AUUGAACGCUGGCGGAAUGCUUUACACAUGCGAGUCGAGCGGCAGCGCGGCCUUCGGGCUGGCGGCGAGCGGCGAACGGGUGAGUAAUGCAUCGGAACAUGCCCAGUCGUGGGGGAUAACACUUCGAAAGAAGUGCUAAUACCGCAUACGUCCUGAGGGGGAAAGCGGGGGAUCGCAAGACCUCGCGCGAUUGGAGUGGCCGAUGUCAGAUUAGCUAGUUGGUGGGGUAAAGGCCUACCAAGGCGACGAUCUGUAGCUGGUCUGGGAGGAUGAUCAGCCACACUGGGACUGAGACACGGCCCAGACUCCUACGGGAGGCAGCAGUGGGGAAUUUUGGACAAUGGGGGCAACCCUGAUCCAGCCAUUCCGCGUGAGUGAAGAAGGCCUUCGGGUUGUAAAGCUCUUUCGGCAGGAACGAAACGGUGGGCUCUAACAUAGUCCGCUAAUGACGGUACCUGAAGAAGAAGCACCGGCUAACUACGUG